ACUACCUUGCUACCAUAUAUAGGAAACAAAGUUAAUGUCCUCUAUGAAACCUCUAUAUGAUCAUUUCAUGUCGGGCUUGUUGGAGAAAAAAUGAAGUAAAAAAAAAAAUGCACUCUACUUUUUUACGAGUAAAGCUUGCAUAUGGUAGAAGAUGCCUCAAAGGCUUGCUUGAGCAAGACUAAAAGAGCAAAAUAUAGAAAUCCAAUGAGAUAGAAAACAAUGAUCAUAAUCAAGGUCUGCCGAACCGGGCCGAAUCCCAUAACGUGCUGACUUGGUAGGGGACCGGGUCGGUUCAUCUAUUUUUUUGAAACCGGCUCCAAACCGGCCGGAACUAGCUCCAAACCAAUAGGAACUAGCCGGAACCAGUAGCGAACCGCCCGGACUCUGUCUGAAUCGGUCGGUUUUGUGCGGAAUCGGUUCAAUUUGCAUAGAGCUGGACUAGUUUCAAAUCGGUACCCUCCUCCCUCUCUCCGUUUGUUUUAAAGACUAGUUGGGAAGGUCUGAGAAGUUUCUCACAAAAUCACAAGGUGGUCUUUGAUUCAUCGGUGAGUCCUAGUUUACGUAUGCUAUACAGGAUAAGGACCACGAUGCUCGAUGUAGUAAAGCCCGCAAUGAUACAUUAGAUAUAGGAGACGGGCUCCUCGAGGUUAUUCAGGAGGGUAUGAUGCAACUGCAGAUGACCUCGCACGUGGAGUAGGAUCCAUAAAUAUAUCAGCUUCUUUGUCAUAUACUAGAUCCUAUGGUGCGUCCGAGGCAUCCUUUUCUGGUGGCUACUAUCCUACGCAGCCCAGAGCAUCUUACGGAUCGGAUUUUGUUGCCAGCAUAUUCGGAUGGCCCCUCCACAGCCGUAUUAUCAUCCAGAGAUUAUC
rnacentral:lncRNA from 1 species